GGGACGUCGAUUUCAGCUUUAUAAAUCUAAACUUGAUGAAAUAUGAGGACACUCUCGGCUGACUCAGGCUUAGUGUGUGGUGUUUACUGGUAUCCCUGGCAGAUCAAUUUAAUUUCAGGAAACAUCAAAUGAGGUGCACGGAUGACUCAGAGACAGGUGAGGGGAGAGGCACAGAUGGAGGGAGAUGUGCAUGGUUCUGACUGCAGGCACAAAUGCCCCCCCACCCCUAUAAUUCAUGCACUGGAGGUUGUCACACGGUUAGUGUGAUUAAUUAAUAUUUGCCACCCAAAGCCUGAUUCAAGCACUGCCUAAGGAGGAAGACAGAGAAUCAAGAGAAUGCUUCUUCAUUUGUGUUGUCAGGGUUACAAAGAGGAAAGGUGGCCUAAAUCAAGCACACAAGGGACAGCAGCUUCAUCAUAAUUAUAAUGAGCCCGCUUGUGUGUGCAUGUGUGUGUGCACGGGAGAGAGUGCAU